rnacentral:rRNA from 1 species
UACAGAGGUCCCAAGCGUUGUUCGGAUUCACUGGGCGUAAAGGGUGCGUAGGUGGUUGGGUAAGUCUGAUGUGAAAUCCCGGAGCUCAACUCCGGAAUGGCAUCGGAUACUAUUCGGCUUGAGGGUUGGAGGGGGGACUGGAAUUCUCGGUGUAGCAGUGAAAUGCGUAGAUAUCGAGAGGAACACCAGUGGCGAAGGCGAGUCCCUGGACAACUCCUGACACUGAGGCACGAAAGCCAGGGGAG